rnacentral:sRNA from 1 species
AAAACUUUUUCACUUUUCCUCCUAGUAAAAACAAUGUUUUGUGCGAAGCACAAAACUCGAAGAUAAACAGUGAGGCUGAAUUCCUGCCGAACUGUUUAUCGAAC